rnacentral:rRNA from 1 species
UACGUAGGGGCGAGCGUUAUCCGGAAUUAUUGGGCGUAAAGGGUUCGCAGGUGGUCUGUUAAAUCAGAUGUGAAAGGCAGUGGCUCAACCAUUGCAAGCAUUUGAAACUGGCAGACUUGAGUACAGGAGAGGAAAGCGGAAUUCCUAGUGUAGCGGUGAAAUGCAUAGAUAUUAGGAAGAACACCGGUGGCGAAGGCGGCUUUCUGGACAGUAACUGACACUGAGGCACGAAAGCGUGGGGAGCAAACAGGAUUAGAUACCCCGGUA